rnacentral:rRNA from 1 species
UACGGGGGGGGGCAAGCGUUGUUCGGACUUACUGGGCGUAAAGCGCGUGUAGGCGGCCCGGUAAGUCCGCUGUGAAAGUCGGGGGCUCAACCCUCGGAUGCCGGUGGAUACUGUCGGGCUCGAGUACGGAAGAGGCGAGUGGAAUUCCUGGUGUAGCGGUGAAAUGCGCAGAUAUCAGGAGGAACACCAAUUGCGAAGGCAGCUCGCUGGGACGUAACUGACGCUGAGACGCGAAAGCGUGGGGAGCAAACAGG